rnacentral:ncRNA from 1 species
AUUCUGGUUGAUCCUGCCAGUAGUUAUAUGCUUGUCUCAAAGAUUAAGCCAUGCAUGUCUAAGUACACACGAAUUAAAAGUGAAACCGCAAAAGGCUCAUUAUAUCAGUUAUGGUUCCUUAGAUCGUUAACAGUUACUUGGAUAACUGUGGUAAUUCUAGAGCUAAUACAUGCAAUUAAAACACGGACCUUAUGGGACGUGUGCUUUUAUUAGGCUAAAACCAAGCGAUCGUAAGAUCGUUACAUUGGUUGAACUCUAGAUAACAUGCAGAUCGUAUGGUCUUGUACCGACGACAGAUCUUUCCAAAUGUCUGCCCUAUCAACUUUUGAUGGUAGUAUCUAGGACUACCAUGGUUGCAACGGGUAACGGGGAAUCAGGGUUCGAUUCCGGAGAGGGAGCCUGAGAAACGGCUACCACAUCUAAGGAAGGCAGCAGGCGCGUAAAUUACCCACUCCCCAGCUCGGGGAGGUAGUGACGAAAAAUAACAAUACAGGACUCAUAUCCGAGGCCCUGUAAUUGGAAUGAGUACACUUUAAAUCCUUUAACAAGGACCAAUUGGAGGGCAAGUCUGGUGCCAGCAGCCGCGGUAAUUCCAGCUCCAAUAGCGUAUAUUAAAGUUGUUGCGGUUAAAACGUUCGUAGUUGAACUUGUGCUUCAUACGGGUAGUACAACUUACAAUUGUGGUUACUACUAUACCUUUAUGUAUGUAAGCGUAUUACCGGUGGAGUUCUUAUAUAUAAUUAAGUACUUGUAUUUUUUUAUAUAUUCCUCCUAUUUAAAAACCUGCAUUAGUGCUCUUCAUCGAGUGUUAUUGUGGGCCGGUACAAUUACUUUGAACAAAUUAGAGUGCUUAAAGCAGGCUUCAAAUGCCUGAAUAUUCUGUGCAUGGGAUAAUGAAAUAAGACCUCUGUUCUGCUUUCAUUGGUUUUCAGAUCAAGAGGUAAUGAUUAAUAGAAGCAGUUUGGGGGCAUUAGUAUUACGACGCGAGAGGUGAAAUUCUUGGACCGUCGUAAGACUAACUUAAGCGAAAGCAUUUGCCAAAGAUGUUUCAUUAAUCAAGAACGAAA